rnacentral:lncRNA from 1 species
UCAAUAAAUGAGAAUUUUGCCUCAGACACGAGCAUUUUCGCCCCAGGCACAGAAUUUUCGCCUGAGGCGCCAACAUUUUCGCCCCAGGCGAACAGGCAAACAGAGAGGUACUUUUUCUGGUGAAAUUUUCGCCUGAGGCACAGGAUUUUUCGCCUCAGGCGAACAAGCAAACAGAGAGGUGCUUUUCAACUGGGAAUUUUCGCCUGAGGCACAGGAAUUUUCGCCUCAGGCACAAAAUUUUCGCCUGAGGCACCUACAUUUUCGCCCGGGGCGAAAAAAGCAGAAUAUUAGCUAUUUU